GAUGAAGAACGCAGCGAAAUGCGAUAAGUAAUGCGAAUUGCAGAUUUCAGUGAGUCAUCGAAUCUUUGAACGCACAUUGCGCCCGCCAGCACUCUGGCGGGCAUGCCUGUUCGAGCGUCAUUUCAACCAUCAAGCCCCCAGGGGCUUGUGCUGGGGCCCUGCGGCUGCCCGCAGGCCCUGAAAACCAGUGGCGGGCUCGCUAGUCACACCGAGCGCAGUAGCACAUCUCGCUCAGGGCGUGCGGCGGGCUCCUGCCGUGAAACCCCCCACUGUAACCCCAAAGGUUGACCUCGGAUCAGGUAGGAAUACCCGCUGAACUUAAGCAUAUCAAUAAGCGGAGGA
rnacentral:misc_RNA from 1 species